CUCCACAGCACGUCACCUGGAAGACAUCGUGCUGCGGUCUCACUCAGGGCCGAGGCGGGAAUAAAAACCAGUUUUACAAAUGUGUCCUUACCUGACUCUCGGUCGACGGUGACGACAAGGCCGUCGCCGCUGGACACAAGAGAACGCCAUCAGAGCUCCGGCAGGGAGCCGACUGAACCAGCUCCGGAAUGGUGAACGGGAGUUUCUGGAGAACGACAUCGCCGAGAGGGCGUCACGAACCGAACGCGCACGAUCUCGAACUUUAUCCCUCACCAGCAGGCCUUCUUUGUGGUUGCCGCCGAGUAUGUAUAAGCUGCCAUCGUUGGGGUCCGGCAGAAAACCUGGCCUGGGAAAAAAAAUAAAAAAUAAAAUCAGCGUGAUAUUUAAUUUA